GUGCAGCAGUCGCGAAUCCUCCGCAAUGCGGGAAACCGUGACGGGGUCACCCCGAGUGCCACCCGCUGAGGGUGGCUUUUCCCCGGUCUAAGGAGCCGGGGGAAUAAGCGGGGGGCGAAGACUGGUGUCAGCCGCCGCGGUAAUACCAGCCCGCGAGUGGUCGGGACGUUUAUUGGGCCUAAAGCGUCCGUAGCCGGCCCGGUAAUUCCCUCCUUAAAGCCCACGGCUCAACCGUGGGAACGGAGGGAUAAUGCCGGGCUAGGGGCGGGAGAGGCCGGGGUACGUCCCGGGGUAGGGGCGAAAUCCUGUAAUCCCCGGGGAGGACCGCCAGUGGCGAAGGCGCCCGGCUGGAACGCGCCCGACGGUGAGGGACGAAAGCUGGGGAGGCAAAGGGGAGUUAGAUACCCGU
rnacentral:rRNA from 1 species